UCUGGGAUCCGGUAAUAAGGGAGUCUGCCACUUUCAAAUUACCUGCUGGAAUCCGGCUCAAGACAAUUAUAGAUGAAAAAUCUUCCUGGUCUUCAGCCACCUACCAAAAAUUGAUGUUGGUUUUACACUUCCUAAAGUUGGAGCAAUGAUUUUCAUGACUUAGGGUGAGGAAAUAUCUGACCAGUUGAUGAAGAAUCGAGCGUGUGGAAGACAAAGGAGGAACAACCACUCUCAGCUUCUACCUGCCCCUGGGCUGAUGAAGGAGGCUGUAUCAGAGUGAAGGGAUGUACUCUCACCCAGCUACAGAUUGUGAUGAAUCCCUUAUCACCUGACUUUACACCCACUGUCCCCCAAACGCUGGAUUCGGCUGUAAUUGAGAAGAGGGCAAGACAAACUCCUCUGCCUUAUAGUCCUGUAUUCUCAAGUAAUCAAAUUUUAAAAUGUGUCAAAGAUUCCUACUCACCAGUUCUGAUCACCAAAUGAGCAAAAUGAGUGGGAAGUGCUUCAUUGCCAAUUUAGCCAAAAAUAAGAUGCUAAACACUACCACCUUCUAUGCAUUAUCUAUAAUAAGUGUAUGUAACAAACCCAAGCCAGUAAUAAAUAAGGCUUCAUUUUG